rnacentral:lncRNA from 1 species
GCCCUGACUGCAUUUCCGCCGGCGCCCGAGCGAUGAAGGGUGGGUCCUGCAUCCGAGGCAUCCCCGAUCCAUCCAGCAUCUUCUCGCGCAGUCUUCUUCGACCCGCUGCCACAGUCCCGGCGCCCCAGGCCCUGCGCAGAUGAAGACCCUCCCUCGGACGGCUUUGCGGGCCCUGCCUCAGCCGGCGCCCCCUUCUCUCCUGCAGGACCCGGACCCCCACUGCAGGGGCUGAGUGCCCCCUGGGUCGGCGUCUGAGUCUUGCCUCCCCGUAGGCUCAGUACCUGGCACGUGUCCAAGGCUCAGCAGCUGUACCACAACCACCCAACAGGAGAGAAGGAAAGGAGAGGUGCACCCCGGGGAUGUGAGGAGGCAGCACCGGGCAGAGGGGCCCUUGAGAGAUGUCACCAUCCUGUUAAGAAAGGGCUGGACCACAGCGCUGCAGAGGCCUCUCCUGUCUGGGCCACGGGGAAGGCUUUGUGCAGGACUGGAAGCAGUUGCUGGGUCCUUGGGCUCCACUGGGUUCACUACUCCCAGGCCUUUUCCAUGGGCCUCCUUUUCCAGCAAGCCCCCGUCUUUCCCUGCCC